rnacentral:lncRNA from 1 species
AUCUCAAUAGCAAUACAAGUGAAUAAUUAUUAUUUAAUUUAUAAAUUAUAAUUUUUCAAAUAUUUAUAUUGAUAUACUUUAGAGCAUUAUAAAUUAAUAUUUAAAUAUAAUUAAAUUGAAAUAGAUGAGAAGAGAUGUAGAUAUUGAGAUGGAAGAAGAGGAAUUAGUUUAAAUAAAAAUUGAUUCGAUAAAUUGGAAA